rnacentral:misc_RNA from 1 species
CAUCUGUCCCACACUUGAGUUAUAUGUGGAUGGACUCUGAUGAUCUCGGAGACGAAGGUGGCGCAUUGAUGAGCAUGACAAGGACACCAAAAAGUUGCAAGAGGACGAGGGCUAGUAAUAUUGAUGCUGCACUGAACCGUAUUGCCAACACCAUGGAACAGAUGCCAAAAGCAAUGUGUUUGGCUGCUGCAUGAAAUCAAGGUCGGCGGGUCGGGAGGAAGCUAACCACCAGCAGCGUGUGUUGAAAG